UACGUAGGGGGCUAGCGUUGUCCGGAAUCAUUGGGCGUAAAGAGCGUGUAGGCGGCCCGGUAAGUCCGCUGUGAAAGUCGGGGGCUCAACCCUCGGAUGCCGGUGGAUACUGUCGGGCUCGAGUACGGAAGAGGCGAGUGGAAUUCCUGGUGUAGCGGUGAAAUGCGCAGAUAAUCAGGAGGAACACCUAUUGCGAAGGCAGCUCGCUGGGACGUUACUGACGCUGAGACGCGAAAGCGUGGGGAGCAAACAGG
rnacentral:rRNA from 1 species